UGAGACAGGUGCUGCAUGGCUGUCGUCAGCUCGUGUUGUGAAAUGUUGGGUUAAGUCCCGCAACGAGCGCAACCCUUAUCCUUUGUUGCCAGCGAUUCGGUCGGGAACUCAAAGGAGACUGCCAGUGAUAAACUGGAGGAAGGUGGGGAUGACGUCAAGUCAUCAUGGCCCUUACGAGUAGGGCUACACACGUGCUACAAUGGCAUAUACAAAGAGAAGCGACCUCGC
rnacentral:rRNA from 1 species